ACUGGUGUUCGGGUUGUCAUGCCAAUGGCACUGCCCGGUAGCUAAAUGCGGAAGAGAUAAGUGCUGAAAGCAUCUAAGCACGAAACUUGCCCCGAGAUGAGUUCUCCCUGACUCCCUGAGAGUCCUGAAGGAACGUUGAAGACGACGACGUUGAUAGGCCGGGUGUGUAAGCGCAGCGAUGCGUUGAGCUAACCGGUACUAAUGAACCGUGAGGCUUAACCUUACAACGCCGAAG
rnacentral:rRNA from 1 species